rfam:Phalacrocorax carbo contig84930, whole genome shotgun sequence.
UCAAAGGCUCUUUUAAGAGCCACCCAUAUAUUCAGUAAAAGAGUCG